AGGUGCGUAGCUCAGUGGUAGAGCAGCGGUCUCCAAAGCCGCGUGUCGGUGGUUCGAUCCCAUCCGCAUCUG
rnacentral:tRNA from 2 species